UUAUAAAAGAGUGUGUUUAAAAGGUUUACAGCCUAAACAUUUCCAUGGCCAAAUCAAUUUAUUUCCCUCCAUUUUUAUCUCCCACUCAUCAUCGCCAACAACUAUCAUAACCACCGUGAGACUACAACGAGACCGCGAUAGCCACCACUAGACCACCGCGAGAUCUAUUAGCCACAAGGCUUUAUCAGACAGAUCUGUUACCUACAAUGCUCCAAAUCUCAGCCGCUUCCAUUCCAUCCACACCGCAGCUUACUGAUUUUUCCUCGAAUCAUUUUAGGAUCAUAUAAUGCAGUAUCGGAGCAAUGGAAAAGAUGCCACUAGACAAAAGGUUCUUCUUCGCCUCUAUCAGGUAAUGCAAUCUCCUUGCAUCACCAUCGCGAUGUUAUUUGCAUUUACCUAGAGUACCGAAGAGCUUUUCGGAGGUAUAACUAUUUACAACCGUUGAGAUGAUACUGAUGAUUUCUUUCAUGACAAGAUGAUGUCAACACUUUGGAAUUGUUGAUGUCAACACUUUGGAAUUGUUGAUCACAACACUUUGUUUUUCUUGAAGUCUUCAUCUAUAAAUAAGAAGUAAUGACCAAAAUGUUCUAUCAACAUGAAGAUGUUUUGUGAGAUCAAGAUGAAGAAGACAACAACAAAGGUCAAAUGACAUUUAGUGAAUUCUCUAAUGAUCUUCUGUAAAGUAACCUAUGUUCAUGGUGUAUAUCAAAGAAGCUAUGUCAAGUUUAAUCAAGUUAAAAGAUCCAUGUUCUAGAUGAAUUUCUAAAUCUCUAAUGAACCAAGCAAGAGAUCUUGAAGAUUAAA